UCUCGUCAUCUUCUUCCUGGUGCAGGUGAACCUGUCUUUAUGGCGUUGAGUAUGACGUGAAGAUUACUAUUGAUCUUCUCGUUUGUCUACGUUUUAUUGUAAAACACUAUGUUUUUUUAAGGAAGGCGUGUAGAGGGGUGCAGUGAAGUGACCACUCGUCAAGAUCCACGCACACCAGGACGUGAGCCGUGGGAGAGCUUCAAGGUUCACACAUCAUGAGAGGAGUAUAAGCCUUGCAGCCUGCGUGGGAAGCUGUAGCCACAAAGUUUGUCUGCUAACUUGACGAGAAGAGAAAAGCUCCUAAUGGCAGAUCCGUCUAUCAUGUGCUUGGGAUAUGAUCAGACUUUGCUCAGAGCGGCUGCAGCAUGCGCCAAAUGCAGGCUAUUCUACAAAGUGCAUGCCCCCCCUCCCUCAUCUAUUUUAAUAAUGCGAGGGAUGCAUGGCGAGGAGAUUUGAGGGGAAUUGUAUGACGACGUGCUCGGAGCCAACAUGGGGCGACUUCUUUUUAUCCACCUUUACAUACGGAAGGAUGGACAACUGGAACAGUGGGGACUCCCAAAACGCAGAUGAUGGACAAUGACAUGAUGUUUGGGAUUUUCUUUUUACUGGUUCUGCCUGAGGCUUAAUGAAGAUCUCAGAGAGAGUGACCCGGAAACAAAUGCCCUAACCUAAUGAUGGCAGUCUUCAGGCUAAGGAUAUUCAGCAGAUUGUAAAGGUAUUUCCCUGCUGCUCAGCACCAAAGAGAGUGGAUCCUUCCAAGACCUGCCAAAUCAGCUUCUUAUAGUGAUUGCACAAGAUAUUGCAAGCUUGUAGCUGAUGAGAAUCCAUGUAUUUCUGUUUUUAUUUCCCUUGUAAAUGCAUCUGGUUGUGGCUUUUGACAGCUAAAUAAAACCUUUUUAAGACUA